GAAUGUAUGAAAAAUAAUUGAAUCAAUAAACGAUAUUUAUAAACUUCUUAAUAAAAAUAAAAUAAUUAUAUAAUAAAUAUUCUUCGAUUUUUAUUUAGUGUUUAUCAAUAUUUGAUUCAAAAGAACUAGAUAGAAUCAAUUUCGAAUUCUUAAACAUGUAAUCAAUGCUAUGUAGAAAUAGACUCGUGAAUUAAUAGUAAAAAGAAGAAAAAAAUGCAUUAAAGAAACGAUCAUAAAAAAAAAAAAGUACAACGUUCCAAUCAAAAAAGUAAUUCAAUCAAUGAACUGUGAAACAAUAAAUUUUCACGAAGAAAAUAAAUACAGCAUCGUAAGAGAAUACCAUCAUUACCAUUAUCAAAAGAUUGAAACAAACCUAACCUCAACUUCGAGCCACACGCUUGAAAGCCGACUUUCUCCAUCACCAUAUAUUACUUGAUGUAUGUACCCAUAAAUACGUGUCUCUCUUCGUGAACCGUAUCACAAAUCCUUUCCAAGUUUUAUUUAAGCAACGCAAGAAGGCAGAAAAGAGUGGAUAUUAUAUACAGUAUCGUUUAAUCGGACGAAAAAAAAGCGAGAAAGUUGAUGGUGCGGUGUUCUUGAUUGUUUAUCAACAGGUUACCGGUAGAAUGGAAGCGUUUGGAUCUCUCGGUGGAUCGAUCCCGAAUCAGUGAAGCGUAACUAGUUGAAAAGAGGGUAUCGGCCGGGGAAAAACGUUCGAUGAUCGAAGCAUCGGAGAAGAGACGCGAUGGGAGUGGGGAUAGCAAGACACGACGCUCGCGGCCAGUUAUGGUGGCGAACCAUGCUUCAUGGUGGGGUUGAAAGGUGGCGCAGUCAUUUAUGGUUGCCGGUUGUUCAUCCGACGGUUCAGUUGCCCGUCUGACCAACAACGACAAAAACCUCAAAUGGCGAACGUACGAUGAGCAGUCGACUCGAUUAUUUGAUUUUAAGGAUCGUUAUAUGGAACCGACAACGUUUAUGAAAUUCUAUUUCUAUUAAUCAUCGGAAGUUUAUUGGUUUCUACAAUUGAUUGCUCUACAAUUGAGAUCUCGUAUAAGCUUUGAAGAGUCUAAAGAAGAAGAAGAAAAGAGUUUCGAGAUAGAAAAGUGAUAUAUGAACGAUGUUUGUGAGAAGUAUGUUUACGUUUGAACAUUAUAUUGGAGAAUUUGAUUAAUAUUUAGAGAAUUUGUUGUUUGUCAAAAUUUAAAUUUGUAUAUAAUUUGAAAUUCAGUUUGAUGAAAGAAGAAAGAAGAAUUUAAAAAAUAAAGUUAAAAAAGAAACGACUUAUUGGAAGACAUUAAUUUUGAAUAGAAAAGUGGUACCUGAAUGAAUGAUUAAUUUGAGGAAUAUAUUUAUGUUUGAUAUUUCAUGAAUAUAUCAAAAUGUUUGAUUAAUGAUUAAUAGUUUUUUAAAAUUAACUUUGUGAUUGAAGAUUGUUGUUGCAAAAAAUUGUGAUUCAAAGAAUUUCUUGAAGAAUAGGAAGAAUGGUUGAAAGUGUGCAAUAUUUCUACGAAAAUUCAAGAAGAAUAAUUCGAAAAUUCUUUACUUUUGAUGGGAAUUAAUGAUUCGAUAUUCUGCAAAUAAAGACGUAUUUCCGAAGAAUUCGCCGAAGAAAAUUAAGAAAUUUUUCAAAGGCAUUAUAUUGAAAGAUAGCCUCUUUGCUGGAAUACCAGAACGAUUUAAAGAACGUUGUGGAAAAUAGAGAUAUAUUUAUGAUUGAGAACAUAAAGUAGAUCGAGGAAUUUGAUACGAUUAUUUGAAAAGUAGUUCGAUUAAUAUUUAAAAGUGUUGAUUUUCAAAUAAUAAUCCGAACACGAAGAAUGAAAAAUUGUUCCAAAGAAUACUCCAUAAAAUAGUAGAGCUUCGACACGAAAUUUCAAGAAAAUUAUGAUCCACAAUUGGAACUAUCAUUUUUUGACGAUAUCCCGUAAGUUUCGAAGCAAAGAACUAUUCUUUGAAAAAGUUGUUUUUCGAAGUGAAAAAGUGAUUUAAAUGAUUCUUUGAAAGUGGCACGAUAUAUUUAUCUUGGAAAUCGCAAAGUGGAUCAAGCAAUUUGAACGUGAAAUUUCAAACAAGAGGAAUUCAAUCAGUAAUGGAAACCUUCUUUAUUAAUACUCUAUAAAUGAGAUUAUUGAAGAAUUUUUGAAAACAACCGAAGAAAUAUUUUGAAGUUAAAAUCGUUCUGAACGAAAUUAUAUAUUUUAGAUUCCAAUUAACAUUUAA